UUGUUCGGAUUCACUGGGCGUAAAGGGUGCGUAGGUGGCAAGGUAAGUUUGAUGUGAAAUCUCCGGGCUUAACCCGGAACUGCAUGAAUACUAUCUCGCUCGAGAGUUGGAGGGGAGACUGGAAUACUUGGUGUAGCAGUGAAAUGCGUAGAUAUCAAGUGGAACACCAGUGGCGAAGGCGAGUCUCUGGACAACUUCUGACACUGAGGCACGAAAGCUAGGGGAGCAAACAGG
rnacentral:rRNA from 1 species